ACGGAUCAACUUGGUCCGUUUAAGUUUGAUUUGACUUUGAUCUGUCAAAAAUGUAAUGGGUUGGGUUUGUUUAUCAUUUAAGAAUGGGGAUUGCUCCCUCUACUUCUUCCUUUUUCUUCCUCCACCUCUUCCUUCCUUUUUUACCCCUAUUCUUUAUUUCUAUUUCUACUUUAUCCUUCAGGCUAUUCCUAAAUUAUCCUUCAGUAAAACAUUAUUUAUAGGAUCAAGACACAUUUUUCUAGACCAAAUUGGCGUAGUGUUUUUAAACAUACUGCACUCAAACACCCCG
rnacentral:lncRNA from 1 species